GCUUCAGUGUACAAUUGGAAUCAAACACGUAUUCAUUUUAGGACAAUUAAUUAAAAUUAUAUCCAUAUUUAAUGAAACCUAUUGGAAUCAAUAUGGGAUAAAAAUUGGCUUUGUUUGUAAUAAAGCAUGUGAAAAAUAAACUGGCCAUUUGAUAUUGAGAUGGAAAGCUCUGAAACUCAACUCAUUAAUCACUUAAAAUCAUAAAUCUUAUCCCCAAAAAGUAAUAAGGAGAUAGUUUCUGUUCUGAAUGUCAAAUACAUCUACAUAACUUAAAUGAUUUGUCUAUGCUCUUAAUUUUUUAUGAUGCAUCAUUUCCAAAUUGUUAAGUAACUAUUUAGUUAUAGUAUCAACACCUACAGAAAAAUGUUUGAAUCAUUAUUAUAAACGAUUUUGGAAAUCAGGGGUCCUCAAUGCUGUAAACUGAACAUCCUCCUAACUGCUUGGAUUAUAAGAAUUGAUUCAACUCAUUAACACCACAUCUGAAGCAUUAUCUUUUGAUCCAAAAACGCAGUGCAUUCAUUCAUCGAUCAAGUAAAUAACAAGAAAUCAUCCAUAAUAUAAAAAGCGCACUAAAGUUAUGUAUCAUGUUUUUUUUUAAAUAUAUAAAUAAAACAAUUGCUGAAAUACCUAUCGAU
rnacentral:lncRNA from 1 species